CCUACGGGAGGCAGCAGUGAGGAAUAUUGGUCAAUGGGCGUAAGCCUGAACCAGCCAAGUCGCGUGAGGGAUGAAGGUUCUAUGGAUCGUAAACCUCUUUUAUAAGGGAAUAAAGUGUGGGACGUGUCCUGUUUUGUAUGUACCUUAUGAAUAAGGAUCGGCUAACUCCGUGCCAGCAGCCGCGGUAAUACGGAGGCUCCGAGCGUUAUCCGUAUUUAUUGGGUUUAAAGGGGGCGUAGGCGGCCUUUUAAGUCAGCGGUGAAAGUCUGUGGCUCAACCAUAGAAUUGCCGUUGAAACUGGGAGGCUUGAGUAUGUUUGAGGCAGGCGGAAUGCGUGGUGUAGCGGUGAAAUGCUUAGAUAUCACGCAGAACCCCGAUUGCGAAGGCAGCCUGCCAAGCCAUGACUGACGCUGAUGCACGAAAGCGUGGGGAUCAAACAGGAUUAGAUACCCCAGUAGUC
rnacentral:rRNA from 1 species